AUGACUGUAAUAGUUUUCAUAGAUCUGAGUGAUCAUGAUAUUAUUGACUUGAGCAGCAGCGACGACGAGACUGUUCAGGAGGAUCAUAUUGCUACUCAGCACCGGGCGGCGUCGUUUGAUAGGAAGACUAUGCAUGUCAUAGCUGGUGAAGGAAUCCAAGAUGUGCAGGCUGCUUUUGUUGCAACUAGUGAAGGAAGGCAAGAUGUGCAGGCUCUGUUUGCUGCAGCUAGUGAAGGAAGACAAGAGGCUGCUGCUUGCGGACAUGCUUUGGAAGUCACCACAUUGUCCUUGGUUACGGAAAAAGAACCGCUUGUUGUAGCUAGUGAAGGAAGCCAAGAUGUGCAUGUCAGGCAGCGGCAGCAAGAUCGAUCGGAUUCAGAGAGAAGACUAGGUGUUUUGCGUUGCGCACAAACUGCAACUUUUCUUGUUUUUCCUUCUCUGUUAUGUAUACUGCGAUUACAGAAUGACUGGGAGAGUGAUCCGAGCUUCACGGCCGUGCCAUUCCACGUCCACUCGCCACCUCCCUUUACGCCGCCAUGCUCGCAUGAGCUCGUGCCAUCCCACGAUGCGCGCACAGCGGCCUAA
rnacentral:rRNA from 1 species